rnacentral:misc_RNA from 1 species
AGGUGGAGUUGAUGCAAAAGAGUUGUUCCAUUCAUAUAUAACCCUCUGGAUUCAAGACAAACGUCUUACCUUGCUGGAGUUGUGCAAACUAGACAAGGUAAAGUGGUCUGGUGUCAAAACACAACAUUCAACAACUCCUUUCGUUGAUGAAAUGUAUGCGCAACUGAAGGACACACUGAAUGAAUAUGAAGUAAUAAUUUCUCGUUGGCCAGAGUAUAUUGUCAUCUUGGAGAAUGCUAUUGUAGAUGUUGAGAAGGCAAUUAUUGAAGCUUUGGAUAAGCAGUAUGCUGAUUUCUUAUCACCAUUGAAGGAUAGUCUUGCACCAAAGAUCUUUGGCCUCAAAUAUGUUCAAAAGUUUGCCAAACGAACAGGGGAAAUUUAUUUUGUCCCUGAUGAGUUGGGGGUUCUUCUGAAUUCCAUGAAAAGGAUGCUGGAUGUCCUACGGCCCAAGAUAGAAAACCAGAUGAAGUCAUGGAGUUCUUGCAUCCCUGAUGGCCUAGAUACAGUCUCAGGAGAAUGUCUUAGUGAAAUUACAGUGCUGCUCAGAUCCAAAUUCAGAAGUUACCUUCAAGCAAUUUUGGAAAAACUUGUAGAGAAUACAAAGAUGCAGAGUGCAACAAAACUCAAGAGCAUAAUCCGAGAUUCGAAGGAAACUUUGGUGGAGUCAGAUCUAAGGAACAGAAUGCAGCCUUUGCAAGAUCUUCUUAUAAAGACAAUAGAUCAUUUACAAUCUGUUGUUGAACCUCAUGUGUUCAUAGCCAUUUGCCGAGGUUUUUGGGAUCGCAUGGGACAGGAGAUACUACGCAUUCUGCAAAAUAGGGGAGAGAAUAAUUCCUGGUAUAAAGGCUCACGAAUUGCUGUUUCUAUCUUGGAUGACAUUUUUGCAUCACAGAUGCAGCAAUUGCUUGGAAAUGCGCUACAAGAGAAAGACUUGGAGCCACCAAGAUCUAUAAUGGAAGCACGUUCAGUGCUUUGUAAAGAUGCUAUAAACAACCAGGACAACUACUAUUAUUAGAUUUUUUGCUACUGUACAUACAGAUUCACAUCAAUGUUUUGGCUUAAUAUUUUUGCGUUGAAGAAGGAAUGGUGCAAAUCAGAGUUGAAAAGACCACAGACUACCACGGCAACAGUUUUGGAUGCACCGAAUGAAGUUGUCAAUGUAAAGAUUUUACCAUCACCAUAGCCUCUGUGGUGUAUUUUCCCCAAUGAAUGUAAAAUUAUGGGUACCCCAUUGCAAUCCUUCUGAAUUACAGUUGAGAUUGUUAUAUGUGAAAUAUCUCUUUUUUUUUUUUUGUAGUGUGAAUCUAAUGGGAUGAAUUAGAUUUUUUUU